CUGCUACAUGGCCUUUAUAACGCUUUAAAUGUAAAAACAUUCCCAUUUUCCAUAAUACAGAAUAUUCAAGAUGAUAGGAGACUUGUGACAAGAACAAAACCAUAUCAACAUUUA